rnacentral:rRNA from 1 species
UGGGGGAUAUUGCACAAUGGGCGAAAGCCUGAUGCAGCGACGCCGCGUGGGGGAUGAAGGCCUUCGGGUUGUAAACUUCUUUUGCUCUGAACAAGGCAUGCUAAUGGGUGUGUUGAGUGUAGGUGUUGAUUAGCGCCGGCUAACUACGUGCCAGCAGCCGCGGUAAUACGUAGGGCGCGAGCGUUGUCCGGAAUUAUUGGGCGUAAAGGGCUUGUAGGUGGCUGGUUGCGUCUGUCGUGAAAGCUCAUGGCUUAACUGUGGGUUUGCGGUGGGUACGGGCUGGCUUGAGUGCAGUAGGGGAGGCUGGAAUUCCUGGUGUAGCGGUGGAAUGCGCAGAUAUCAGGAGGAAUACCGGUGGCGAAGGCGGGUCUCUGGGCUGUUACUGACACUGAGGAGCGAAAGCAUGGGGAGCGAACAGG